rnacentral:rRNA from 1 species
AUUGAACACUGGCGGCAGGCCUAACACAUUCAAGUCGAGCGAGCGGCGGACGGGUGAGUAAUGUAUGGGGGUCUGCCCGAUAGAGGGGGAUAACUCCUCGAAACGGUUGCUAAUACCGCCUACUAUCAGAUGAACCAAUAUGGGAUUAGCUAGUAGGUGGGGUAAGGGCUCACCUAGGCGACGAUCUCUAGCUGGUCUGAGAGGAUGAUCAGCAACACUGGGACUGAGACACGGCCCAGACUCCUACGGGAGGCAGCAGUGGGGAAGAUUGCACAAUGGGCGCAAGCCUGAUACAGCCAUGCCGCGUGUAUGAAGAAGGCCUUAGGGUUGUAAAGUACUUUCAGCGGGGAGGCGUUACCCGCAGAAGAAGCACCGGCUAACUCCGUGCCAGCCGCCGCGGUAAUUC